rnacentral:rRNA from 1 species
CACGCCGUAAACGAUGAUUACUCGCUGUUUGCGAUACACAGUAAGCGGCUUAGCGAAAGCGUUAAGUAAUCCACCUGGGGAGUACGUUCGCAAGAAUGAAACUCAAAGGAAUUGACGGGGGCCCGCACAAGCGGAGGAGCAUGUGGUUUAAUUCGAUGAUACGCGAGGAACCUUACCCGGGCUUGAAAUGCAUUUGACCGGCUCAGAGACGAGUCUUCCCUUCGGGGCAAAUGUGUAGGUGC